CAAACACUUACUUUCCAUUUUAUUCAAUAAUUGCUUUAAUACUAAAAUGCAUUAGAUGCUCAAAGCAGAGAAAAGAAAAUCACAUUUAGGUGGAAAACAAAGUUCUCAUCAGAUGAAAAAAUCCCAAUGUGGCAGGUACACCAUUUGGAAACAGAAUCAUAAUAAUUUAAUAAAGCUGCUUUAUCAUCUUCAUAAAAUAGACAGAAUGGUGAUUCUUCUUUUUUUUUUUUCCUUUUUCCAUUUUGUUGUUUACAAUGAUUCAAUCACUGUGAAAAUGUACAUAACAUACAUAUCAGCAUAUACAACGAUUUAUUCUUCAUAUACUCGGCAACGGAGACACCAUGACGAGACGUACCGCGCUCGGUGCCGCGCCGCGGCUGCUGCUGGGGCCGGGCUCUGCGAGGGGUCUGGAGACCCUGCCCCAGCUCAGAUCAGCUGGGUGAGCCGGGCUCUGCGAGGGGUCUGGAGACCCUGCCCCAGCUCAGAUCAGCUGAGUGAGCCGGGCUCUGGGAGGGGUCUGGAGACCCCACCCCAGCUCAGAUCAGCUGAGCAGAACCAGUUUUUGUGAGGAGGGGGUCUGCAGGCUCCAGCCCAGCUCAGAUCAGCUGAGCAGAGCCAGUUUUUGUGAGGAGGGGGUCUGCAGGCUCCAGCCCAGCUCAGAUCAGCUGAGCAGAACCAGUUUUUGUGAGGAGGGGGUCUGCAGGCUCCAGCCCAGCUCAGAUCAGCUGAACAUCAGCUGGCACCAGCGGAGCUCCUCUCAGCCUCGCAGGGCUGAUCCCCGGCGGGUACCACAGCUCACAGGUUGGACCAGAGAUCACCCAGAGCUGCAAGAGCAGCUGUAGCAACAAGACCAUCAGUUUUCCCCAAUGACAGACAAAUGUGUUUCCAUUCAAAAUUAGAUUUUUUUUUUUCUCUCCCUCCCCCCCACCCCCCCACCCCGAAGAAUAAUUUCAACAUAUUCAUCAGACAGUGUGUUCUUCACAAAAGCAACUCGUUUCCUGUUUGGAAAAAUAAAAAUUAAAAAAAAGAAAGGAAUUCACUUUUGCACAAAGUGUGAUCCACAGGCCACCUCCAGCUCACGACAAACAGGGAACAGCAACAACCUCAGCAGACAGUGCUUGGGGGGGAUUUUUCCAGCCAUCAGUUGUGCCCCCCAGCCCUCCACCACCCCUCCCAGCACAGCCCUGCAGCCUCGAGGGUGGGAAAGGCCAGGGGCUCCCGAGGGAGCAGGGCAGAGCUCAGCCCCUGGCCCCAGCCCCAGAGCUGCUCCAGAUGGGGUCCUCGUCAUGCUCGGGGGAGAAUCGUCGGUGCUUGCUGCUCUCCUGCAUCAACAGGAGCAGAGCAAGUUUGCCUGAAGGAAACCAACAGAUCCCAGCGACUUUUCCUAAACCAAAUCUGAGGACAGGUUUAAGUUAUUAAAAAGCACAAUAAUUACAUCUGGAACCCUUCCAAAAAGCCUUCCUGCCCGCCCAGCAGCUCAGAACAUUUUUUGCAUGGCCAGUUUCGAUGCAAGUAGGAAAAAACCAAGAGACUGCAAUUUGCCCAGGAGCCUGAACUCAUCUCGAGUGACACAGAGGGACGGUGACAGGAGUACCAAAAUGCUCUGGAGAGGGCCAAGGCAGCAAAGCCAGGGCAGCUCUCUGGGUCUCCCCUUGGCCCUGCACAGCAAGGCCACACCAGGGAAGGGCCCCUCGCUCACAGCCCCCACUGCAGCCCGGGUCAGCCCAGAAAACUGGUGUUUAAAUGAUUUUCUUGGAGGCAUAAGGGUUUACUGACCUCUUUAAUGCCCCCUUUUAAUACAGAAUUAUUUCACAUUCUUUCUCGGCUGUGCUUUUAUUCAGAGUGGCAAGGAACGUUUCCUCUGGGUAAAUUAGAGAAAUGUUUCUAUUUUUUCUUUUUUUUUACCCUCUCUUCCUUUUCAGUUAGCAUCUAUUUUUCAUCCAAAACACAAGGCUGGUGGUGGCAGCUCCACGGGCAGGGGGCAAUGCUUGGCAGGAAUUAGCAGCCAGCACUUUUCCAGAGCUGGGGAUGGUGCUGGGGCACCUGGGGGUCCCCAGGGGCCAUGGGGAAGCUGGGUCUCCUCCUGGCAGGGGCGUGGGGUGAUGCUGGGGCCACAUGCAGGAGCCCUGUGAAGCCCAGAGCACCUGACAGACAGGGCAAGGCAGGGUCUGUCUCUCAGCAAACACACAGGAGAAGUUCUGCCCCCACCCCAAAAAACCCUCCCAGAGCUGACAAAACCAGGAAACAUCAGAAUAAACUCAGCUUAACAGUCACAGAACACCCAGUUACUGCAACAGCCCCGAGCCAGUCCCUCUCCUCCUUGCUUGUGUUAUAAUAAAACACACAUUUGGGGAAAAAAACCAGAAAUCAAUGACAGCAGUAACAGUACACAGGCAGGAAACACAGCGGGAACAGAAACAACAUAUCCCUGAAGAAUGGGCUCAGAAUCCAGAAGAGGGGAGAAACCCCCAGUUUGCUUUCUGGAGGGAUGCAGGACAUCAUGUUAACACAUGGGAUGGGAGCUCAAUGAGGUAGUCAUCACACCAGUGAGGGAAGCAUCACAAAUUCCAUUAGACAACUGUUUUCUUGUUGAUUCUUUCCCAAUUCCUGGCUCUAGCAAGUGGCAGGGGGAACAGGCUGACUCUGGACCUGUCUCAGACCAGCUGUGGCUUCAGGCAAGAUCAAUCUGCCCUGAAGAAAUAAAUGGCUGGAGUUUAAUUUUAUUUUGAGGAUAAUAACAACUGGAACUUGUUUUCUUGCUAUUUUUCAUUUAAAUAAAUCAAGUAACAAAUACUUUAUCAUGAUAUGUAGACCUAGAAAGUCUCUUUCUCUAGAAACCACUAAUUUCAACUUGCUGGUACAGCAAACAUUGGCAAGAGCUAUAUAUUUUUCCUUCCAUAAUCGAUUUUAAACUCUAGGAAACAUUAUUGAGGGUAGGAAAAAUCCGUUCAGUGAAGGGUUAAUAAUAAUAGCAAAAAUAAUAAUAAUAAUAAUAAUAAUUAACACUAACUGAAAUCCUCCUACCUUACUCAUACCUCACUGAGGAAUCAUCACUGCAAGAGAGCAGAGAGCUGUGGAAUCCCUUCCCUCUCUCCCUUCUACAAAAUGGCUAUUAAAGUAGCUCAAUUUUCAAUUCAAUUUUACAUGAGUAGAUUUGUACCCACAGAAAAAAGUCCUUAAUUAUGAGAAAAAAUAAAGAAUUGCUUUAAUUUUUUCUCCAUUAAGAAGGCACAUUAAUUGAAUUAGUAGCGUUGUUACAUAUCACCUGUCUGCCCCUAAAUUAACAUCACUAUUGCUCAUUCCAUACCUAUUUAUGAUGCAGGGAUAGAAAGAAAUCAGAAGGGUCCAAAACCCAAGCCAUGAUGUCAUACCCACAUACACCCUCUUGGUGCAAUCAUGGCUAGGAAACGCUGACUGGGAAGUGUGUGUGUCUAAUUGAGAAGGUAAUUUAGAUCUCUUAAAAUAAUUCCAUCUCUUUGACUUGGAAAUGACUGGAGGCGAGGGAUAGCUAAAUCUGGGAACUGGAAAAAAACCAAAAUAACCAACUUGUGGAAAAAAAAAACCUUUCCAUGCAUUGCCUUGAAAUUAUGCAAAAGAAA